rnacentral:lncRNA from 1 species
GCCAUUUCCUUCUCCAAAUCUAAAGCCCAAAUCUUGUCACUGAAAUAUACCACUGUGACUGUUAAAACUUGUUUUUUCCAAGCCUGUCAAUUAAAAAAAAAUAACCAAAAAAAAACUCUGAGUUGAAAUGAAUGUCUUGUCCCCAGUAAAUUAGCUACUUACUAUUCCCUGACCUAUUUUUCCUACCACAGUCUCAUUUGAUUAUUCCAAGCAGGCAAGUCUAUUUUCCUCCUUUGGCAAGCAGACGAGGAAGGUGUGGUGGAAGUUAUAUAUUAAGAAAAAAAUACGUGGAGCAAAACGCCCCGUCCUAUCUCCCGAAGUCACCUGAUGCUUAACGAGAGAACCAGGACCUUGAAGACGAGGUCAGGCAGAAGAGGGCACCAGUCUCCCAGGGAGAAGCCAGGACUCGUCAGUAACGGGGUUGUGACCAAUCUGAACCAACUGCCAGGUCGCAAGAUUUGGAAGGCUAAAGUGGAAGACAUCAUUCAUCCAGAUUUAAUUAACUCACAAAGAACUUAUAGAACAUUGAAGACAAGGGGAUAGAUUCAAGAUACAUGGACAGGUAUAUGCUCGCAUGAGGAGUAACACGAAGAACAGGAAAAUAUUACGCAUGUCUCGUUCUCAAUAUACAUGUGUACACAGUAUUGUCUCUGAUCUGCACAGAGAUUUCUUUAGAAAUAUGUAUUAUUUCUAGUAUCCAUUUGCCUGCUGCUGCUGCUGCUGCUAAGUCGCUUCAGUCGUGUCCGACUCUGUGCGACCCCAUAGAUGGCAGCCCACUAGGCUCCUCUGUCCAUGGAAUUUUCCAGGCAAGAGUACUGGAGUGGGG